rnacentral:rRNA from 1 species
GGAAGGAUCAUUAAUGGAUUGAACUCUGGCAGAUGGCUGUUGCUGGCUCUCACUGGGAGGGCACUGUGCACGCCCUCUUGCUCGUUUCCUUCUUUAUCACCUGUGCACUAUUUUGUAGACUCUAGUGUCUAUGUAUUUUUAUCAUAAAUACAAUGUUAAGAAUGUAUUCAUAAAAGGUGUAUAUAUUAUACAACUUUCAACAAUGGAUCUCUUGGCUCUUGCAUCGAUGAAGAACGCAGCGAAAUGCGAUAAGUAAUGUGAAUUGCAGAAUUCAGUGAAUCAUCGAAUCUUUGAACGCACCUUGCGCUCCUUGGUAUUCCAAGAAGCAUGCCUGUUUGAGUGUCAUUAAUAUCUCAAAAAUGCUUUACUUUAGUCAAGUGUUUUUGGAUUUUGGGAGUUUAUUGCUGGCUUGUCUGUCAGCUCUCCUUAAAAGUAUUAGCUUUUGGCUCUUCUCUUUUAACUGGUAUGAUAGUUAUCUAUGCCUGUAAAGGGAGAAGUGGUAAAGCCUCUAAUAAUCCUGUGACAUGUUGACCUCAAAUCAGGUAGGAUUACCCGCUGAACUUAAGCAUAUCAAUAAGCGGAGGAAAAGAAACUAACAAGGAUUCCCCUAGUAACUGCGAGUGAAGUGGGAAAAGCUCAAAUUUAAAAUCUGGCGGUCUUUGGCCGUCCGAGUUGUAAUCUAGAGAAGUGUUGCCUGCAUUGGACCGUGUACAAGUCUUCUGGAAUGAAGCGUCAUAGAGGGUGAGAAUCCCGUCUUUGACACGGACUCCCAAUGUAUUGUGGCAUGCUCUCAAAGAGUCGAGUUGUUUGGGAAUGCAGCUCUAAAUGGGUGGUAACCUCCAUCUAAAGCUAAAUAUUGGCAAGAGACCGAUAGCGAACAAGUACCGUGAGGGAAAGAUGAAAAGA